rnacentral:rRNA from 1 species
UACGUAGGCAGCGAGCGUUGUUCGGAGUUACUGGGCGUAAAGAGUGCGUAGGCGGUUUUCUAAGUUUGGUGUGAAAUCUCCCGGCUCAACUGGGAGGGUGCGCCGAAUACUGAAUGACUUGGAGUGCGGGAGAGGUGAGUGGAAUUCCUGGUGUAGCGGUGAAAUGCGUAGAUAUCAGGAGGAACACCGGUGGUGUAGACGGCUCACUGGACCGUAACUGACGCUGAGACACGAAAGCGUGGGUAGCAAACAGG